GACAGAGGAUGCAAGCGUUAUCCGGAAUGAUUGGGCGUAAAGCGUCCGCAGGUGGCAGUUCAAGUCUGCUGUCAAAGACCGGGGCUUAACUUCGGAAAGGCAGUGGAAACUGAACAGCUAGAGUAUGGUAGGGGCAGAGGGAAUUCCUGGUGUAGCGGUGAAAUGCGUAGAUAUCUGGAGGAACACCGGUGGCGAAGGCGGCAUUCUGGACCAUUACUGACGCUGAGGAGCGAAAGCGUGGGGAGCGAACAGG
rnacentral:rRNA from 1 species